rnacentral:rRNA from 1 species
UGGGGAAUAUUGCACAAUGGGCGAAAGCCUGAUGCAGCGACGCCGCGUGAGGGAUGACGGCCUUCGGGUUGUAAACCUCUUUCAGCAGGGACGAAGCGCAAGUGACGGUACCUGCAGAAGAAGCACCGGCUAACUACGUGCCAGCAGCCGCGGUAAUACGUAGGGUGCAAGCGUUGUCCGGAAUUACUGGGCGUAAAGAGUUCGUAGGCGGUUGGUCGCGUCGUUUGUGAAAACCAGCAGCUCCACUGCUGGAUUGCAGGCGAUACGGGCAGACUUGAGUACUGCCGGGCGGACUGGAAUUCCUGGUGUAGCGGUGAAAUGCGCAGAUAUCAGGAGGAACACCGGUGGCGAAGGCGGGUCUCUGGGCAGUAACUGACGCUGAGGAGCAAAAGCGUGUGUAGCGAACAGG